rnacentral:lncRNA from 1 species
UCCUACGCCUUUGAACGCCACAAAUCAGAGAUGGUACCAUGGAGGAACAUGAACAGGUAAAUAACAUCUUUGUGUGGCGUGUUGCAGCUGUCACAGCCGCCAGCAGACAGCCGACUCCCUCACCAGUAAACACCGCGGCUUAGGUGUUGCCCACCGGGCACCGGAAGGCGGCCCCCUUCUCGCUCUCCAGUGAAUGUUCCUAAAACAACUGCGGGGUCCAAGAGCACAGGGAGAACAGCGCCCCUGACGCAGGCUGCGCACCCGCCCGGAGGAGGCAGUGCGUCAGUCCUGAGGUCACCGCCACCCGCUCCCGGGGGACGGCCGCCUGGGCAGGUGAGGAGGCGACCACCUCCCAGACGCCUGCCGGAGCUGCGGCGCACCGACUCCCUGCUUCUCCGAGCGGCGAGCGCCACCUGGAGGCUCCCUCGAGAUCUGCAUUUAGGAGGCGACGGGUCCUUUCAUCGUUUUAUUCAUUAAACAUUUAUCGAGGCCUGGAGCGAUGGUUCAAGCCUGUAAUCCCAGCACUUUGGGAGACCGAGACGGGCGGAUCACUUGAGGUCAGGAGUUGGAGACCAGCCUGGCCAACAUGGCGAAACCCCAUCUCUACUAAAAAUACAAAAAUUAGCCGGGCACGGUGGCGCACACCUGUAAUCCCAGCUACUCAUGAUGAGGCUGAGGCACAAGAAUCGCUUGAACCCGAGAGGCGGAAGUUGCAGUGAGCGGAGAUGGAGCCACUGUGUGUUAGGCUCUGGCGACGUGGGGAGAAAUAAAGAUAAUGUCUUGUUUCCCAGGGCAUUAAUAGCGUGAUGGGGAAGACAGGCCAUCAACAAUGUGCAACACUAAGGGCUAGGAAAGAGGUGGAUACAAAGGAGGGAAUAAGGAAUGUGGUCAUUCCUUAAGGUGUUUAUUGGUGCCAGGUACUGUUCAAGGCACCAAAAAGAAUGGAACCAAACAGAGAUCCUGCUCCCAAAGAGCUCAUAGUGGAAGGACAGCCAGACAAGCUUAGAAUUACGGGACAGGCCUAAGAAGGAGCCAGACUGGGGACCAGAGGCGUCCGAAGGGAAGUCCAGGAAGUACCGCAGGAAAACGUGAUAUAUAUUAAAUCUUAAAGAAUGGGCAGGAUUUUGCCAGGCUUAGUGACAAGAUAUCUUCCGUAAAAUCGUGGAACUGAAAAGAAAGGAUAUAGGUUGAAGAAGGGCUAGUUCUGUGUCUGAAAUAGAAGGAACAUGAAAGAGAAGUGCUGGGACAUGGGGCAAAAAAGGGAGUUUGGGGCCAGAUCGUGAAAGCCUUGGUUUAACAGGUGAAAAGUUCAAAUUUGAUCCAGGUAGCUGGCAGAGUCAGAGGUUCUAAAGCAGAGACCUGCUCUAUAGAAAGCUCACCAUGAAGUACAGCAGUGAUGGUGGAUGAAGAUACCAACAGCUCAACCUCCUAUGUGCCAGGGAAAUGCUGAGCGCUUAGCACCUGAUAUUUAUCUUAAUUCUCUAAAUGGGCCUAUGGGGUAAGCAUAUUAUUAUCCCAAUUUUAUUGGAAUACUUCCCUGGUAGGGCCCCUAAACAGGUAGCCAUCAAAUGCCUGAUAAAUUCCAGCUAGCUUUAAAUUCUAGUCGCUACAGAGCAGAGCCCUUCCAUCGCACUGAGCUGAAGGAGCCAGAUGGGCAUUACAGACAAGACCCACUCAGUAGGUGAAAUCAACAGAGCCUAAUGACUAUCUAGAUCUGCAAGAUGAAGAAUAGGAAAGAGCUAAAGACAAGAUUAUGAUGAAAAGUUUGAUUUUGAAAUAAUACAUUUUUAAGAGCUGAGAAAAACCGUAUCCAUCAUCCAGAACAACCGCCUAUUCUACCCACACUCCCAGCACCACAUCAGUACACGUGUGCCUGUACUCACCAUUCUGCCUUGCCUCCUGCUGGCAUGGACGAGUGCUGCGUGUUCCUAAGUGCCACCUUCCGCUGUGCACUCGAUCCCAUCCUCGCGCCCAC